UAGUCCACGCCGUAAACGAUGAUUACUCGCUGUAGGCGAUACACAGUCUGUGGCUAAGCGAAAGUUUUAAGUAAUCCACCUGGGGAGUACGAUCGCAAGAUUGAAACUCAAAGGAAUUGACGGGGGCCCGCACAAGCGGAGGAACAUGUGGUUUAAUUCGAUGAUACGCGAGGAACCUUACCUGGACUUAAAUGUGCGUUGCAUAGAUCAGAGAUGGUCUUUUCUUCGGACUACGUACAAGGUGCUGCUUGGUUGUCGUCAGCUCGUGCCGUGAGGUGUUGGGUUAAGUCCCGCAACGAGCGCAACCCUUGUCUUUAGUUGCCAGCAUGUAAUGAUGGGGACUCUAAAGAGACUGCCUCCGUAAGGAGUGAGGAAGGUGGGGAUGACGUCAAAUCAUCAUGGCCUUUAUGCCUAGGGCUACACACGUGCUACAAUGGUAAAUACAGAGGGCAGCGAAGGGGUGACCUGGAGCCAAUCUCAGAAAGUUUAUCUCAGUUCGGAUUGG
rnacentral:rRNA from 1 species